rnacentral:rRNA from 1 species
AUGGGCGGAAGCCUGAACCAGCCAAGUAGCGUGCAGGAUGACGGCCCUAUGGGUUGUAAACUGCUUUUAUGCGGGGAUAAAGGAGCCCACGUGUGGGCUUUUGCAGGUACCGCAUGAAUAAGGACCGGCUAAUUCCGUGCCAGCAGCCGCGGUAAUACGGAAGGUCCGGGCGUUAUCCGGAUUUAUUGGGUUUAAAGGGAGCGUAGGCCGCCCCUUAAGCGUGUUGUGAAAUGCGGGUGCUCAACAUCCGACUUGCAGCGCGAACUGGGGGGCUUGAGUGCGCCGAAAGUAGGCGGAAUUCGUGGUGUAGCGGUGAAAUGCUUAGAUAUCACGAAGAACUCCGAUUGCGAAGGCAGCUUACUGUAGCGCAACUGACGCUGAUGCUCGAAAGCGUGGGUAUCGAACAGGAUUAGAUACCCUGGUAGUCCACGCGGUAAACGAUGGAUGCUCGUUGUCGGCCUGUAUGGUCGGUGACCAAGCGAAAGCGUUAAGCAUCCCACCUGGGGAGUACGCCGGCGACGGUGAAACUCAAAGGAAUUGACGGGGGCCCGCACAAGCGGAGGAACAUGUGGUUUAAUUCGAUGAUACGCGAGGAACCUUACCCGGGCUUGAACUGCGGCGGAACGAUU